rnacentral:rRNA from 1 species
UACAGAGGGUGCAAACGUUGCUCGGAAUUACUGGGCGUAAAGCGCGUGUAGGCUGACAUGCAAGUCGGGUGUGAAAUCCCAGGGCUCAACCUUGGAACUGCAUUCGAAACUGCACGUCUUGAGUACUGGAGAGGGAAGCGGAAUUCCGGGUGUAGAGGUGAAAUUCGUAGAUAUCCGGAGGAACACCAGUGGCGAAGGCGGCUUCCUGGACAGUAACUGACGCUGAGACGCGAAAGCGGGGGGAGCAAACAGG